AAUAGAUACCCGGGUAGUCCACGCCGUAAACGAUGAGUGCUAAGUGUUAGAGGGUUUCCGCCCUUUAGUGCUGAAGUUAACGCAUUAAGCACUCCGCCUGGGGAGUACGGUCGCAAGACUGAAACUCAAAGGAAUUGACGGGGGCCCGCACAAGCGGUGGAGCAUGUGGUUUAAUUCGAAGCAACGCGAAGAACCUUACCAGGUCUUGACAUCCUCUGACAACCCUAGAGAUAGGGCUUUCCCUUCGGGGACAGAGUGACAGGUGGUGCAUGGUUGUCGUCAGCUCGUGUCGUGAGAUGUUGGGUUAAGUCCCGCAACGAGCGCAACCCUUGAUCUUAGUUGCCAGCAUUCAGUUGGGCACUCUAAGGUGACUGCCGGUGACAAACCGGAGGAAGGUGGGGAUGACGUCAAAUCAUCAUGCCCCUUAUGACCUGGGCUACACACGUGCUACAAUGGACGGUACAAAGAGUCGCAAGACCGCGAGGUGGAGCUAAUCUCAUAAAACCGUUCUCAGUUCGGAUUGUAGGCUGCAACUCG
rnacentral:rRNA from 1 species